UACGUAGGGGGCGAGCGUUGUCCGAAGUUACUGGGCGUAAAGAGCGCGUAGGCGGGUCCUUAAGUGAGGGGUGAAAGUCCGAGGCUCAACCUCGGAACUGCCUUUCAUACUGGGGAUCUUGAGUGCGGGAGGGGCGAGUGGAAUGGUCGGUGUAGCGGUGAAAUGCGUAGAUAUCGAUCGGAACACCCAUGGCGAAGGCAGCUCGCUGGCCUGUAACUGACGCUGAGGCGCGAAAGCGUGGGGAGCAAACAGG
rnacentral:rRNA from 1 species